UAACACUUUACACCAGCCAUCAGUGAAAAAAGGUGAACUAAUCAUUAUUUAAUAUUUAAUUCUAAUAAACUAAACCAAAUAUUUCUUAAUUUAUUACAUUUUUCAUUAAUCAUAAUGUAUCUUAUGUAAUUAUUAGUUAAUGAUCAUAUUAAAUAUAAUCAUAUAUAUGUGGUGCUAAAAUGAGGGGGAAAAAUUUGUUGGUAUUUAUUUAAUAUGCAGGUUAAAAUAUUUGCAAGCAGAAAAAGGAAUUAUUGUACUGUCAUUAGAGCCAUAAUUAAAGUCACUGCUGAAGCUCUCAAUCCAUCAUAAAUUGUUAAAUAAUGCCUGAUGUGUUGACCUUCAUUAUGAUUUUCAACUCAUGUCUACUAAUUCCUACAGGUGACAUAAAUUUACAUUAUGAGGCUCUAUUAUGUAUAAAAUUCACAAUAUAUAUAUAAAAAUAAAUAAGAUAAUACAUUUAUUAAACCUUUACAUAAUUGAAAGAGUAUUAAAUAAUGAUUAUUUCACCAAGUAUUGAAUAGAUGACCUACAUCAGUAUUGAUUUUAAUGCACUUUAAAUACCAGUUUUAAAGAGCUUUGGGAAAGCUGAUGGACGCUCUUACACCAGGAGAAGUUGUUGCCCUUUUCUCAGUUUGAGGAGCUGAAACUGUGGAGGCCACAGCUGUGUCUGCUGGACCUUGUUUAACACAAUGGAUGAGAAGAAGAAACACUGACUGUGUCUCAGCUGAGCCCGAAUCCACCGCUGAGUGACGCCCUGCGUGACACCAUAACACCGAAUGACAGCCUGCGGGGCGCAGUGUGCGCCAGGAGCAUCCAAGGUCUGAUGAGCACAGGUCAGUCUGAAUCCUUCUUAAUUUCAUUCCCGGGGACACCAUCUUCUCUCCCGACCGGCGUCAGAUGGCAAGACUGGCUGCGAAGAUGUUCUUUUAAUGAGCAGCGAAAUAAAAUCCACCAUCGUUAGCGGACAUCGGAGCCAGAAGCGAGGCUGCAUAAGGGCUACGGCAUGAGAGUCUCUGCACCACCAGCUCUGCUUCCCCACAACUGGAAUGAAAAUUGUCGGCUGCAGCAUCUUACUGAGCAACGUUUGUUCUUCAGACAGCAGCUCUUUGUGUGCAGAGAGCGUCCUUGUCUCGGUUUGAUGCAAACUUAUUACACCAAACUCUACAUAUAAUGAUGUUUUUUUUUUUCUUUCUUUCUUUCUGCAUGAAUUGUUUCUCUGUAAGUCAAGGAAUAGAUAAGGAUCUUAACCAUGAAAAGUGCCAUGGUUGAUGUUUAAACAAUGCUAUGUGAGCCUAUUUUAUUGCAAAACCAGAAGGGAAGGAUUUAAAAAGAAAUGAGAGGCAUAUUUAUUUUGCAAUUUUGUACAUUGUACAUUUUGGAAAUUGUCGUCAAUGUUGCUGUUAAAAUGCCACUUGUUGGACACCGCCCCCUGACAAAUAGGAGGGGUCACAAUUUGCCUGUGUUGCACAAAAUGUGUUAAAUAGAAGCACGGUAGCCGAAUGCAUGCAGAGGCUGCACCAGCACCACAGAAGUUAAUGUUAUAACCUACUAAUGAAAGGAACAGUACAACAAAUUACAUAUAACCCUCACCGUAUUCUUAAUGUCCACAUUAUAGUUUUGAUCUCCGUUUGCAUGUUACACCAUAGUUGUGCACAUAGCAAAUUAAUUUCUUUUAUUAAACUAACAAUGACUAAUAAAGCAGUGGCUUCCUUCACAUUUCAGUCAAGAUGAAUUCAAAUAAAACUUUUUACUUCAA